rnacentral:rRNA from 1 species
AUCAGUGAAACUAAUCUCCCCGUGAAGAAGCGGGGAUAUACUUAUAAGACGAGAAGACCCCAUGGAGCUUCAAACCCCGCUACACCCCGAUCUCUAUAACCCACUUAACCCACACGGACCCCUGUAUAGCUGGUUUUCGGUUGGGGCGACCACGGAGUACAACAAAACCUCCACAAUGAACGGGACUAAUCCCUCACCUAAGGCCCACACCCCUAAGAAUUAGAAUACUAACAUAAAGUGAUCCAUUAUUUGAUCAAUGAACCAAGUUACCCUGGGGAUAACAGCGCAAUCCACUUCAAGAGCCCCUAUCGACAAGUGGGUUUACGACCUCGAUGUUGGAUCAGGGUAUCCUAGUGGUGCAGCAGCUACUAACGGUUCGUUUGUUCAACGAUUAAAACCCU